GACGAACGCUGGCGGCGUGCUUAACACAUGCAAGUCGAACGAUGAAGUUCCUUCGGGAAUGGAUUAGUGGCGAACGGGUGAGAAACACGUGAGAAACCUGCCUUCCAUUUUGGGAUAACUCCGGGAAACCGGAGCUAACACCGAAUACUCCGUCUCGGCGGCCUCGCUGAGCCGGGAAAAAAUUAUGAUGAAAGAUGGUCUCGCGGCCUAUCAGCUAGUUGGAGAGGUAAUGGCUCACCAAGGCGACGAGGGGUAGCCGGCCUGGGAGGGCGACCGGCCACACUGGGACUGAGACACGGCCCAGACUCCUACGGGAGGCAGCAGUGGGGAAUAUUGGGCAAGGGGCGCAAGCCUGACCCAGCGACGCCGCGUGAGGGAUGAAGGCCUUCGGGUUGUAAACCUCUUUCAGUAGGGAAGAAGCGAAAGUGACGGUACCUAAAGAAGAAGCACCGGCUAACUAUGUGCCAGCAGCCGCCGUAA
rnacentral:rRNA from 1 species